GAGGAAUAUUGGUCAAUGGACGAGAGUCUGAACCAGCCAAGUAGCGUGCAGGAUGACGGCCCUAUGGGUUGUAAACUGCAAAAAAAAAGGGAAUAAAAAGAGCCUCGUGAGGCUUUUUGCAUGUACCUUAUGAAUAAGGACCGGCUAAUUCCGUGCCAGCAGCCGCGGUAAUACGGAAGGUCCGGGCGUUAUCCGGAUUUAUUGGGUUUAAAGGGAGCGUAGGCCGGAGAUUAAGCGUGUUGUGAAAUGUAGACGCUCAACGUCUGCACUGCAGCGCGAACUGGUUUCCUUGAGUACGCACAAAGUGGGCGGAAUUCGUGGUGUAGCGGUGAAAUGCUUAGAUAUCACGAAGAAACUCCGAUUGCGAAGGCAGCCUCACUGGAGCGCAACUGACGCUGAAGCUCGAAAGCUGCAGGGUAUCGAACAGGAUUAGAUACCCUGGUAGUCCGCACGGUAAACGAUGGAUGCCCGCUGUUGGUCUGAAUAGGUCAGCGGCCAAGCGAAAGUAUUAAGCAUCCCAACUGGGGCGUACGCCGGCAAAGGUGAAACUCAUAAGGCAUUGUCGUGGGGCCCGCACAAGCGGAGGAACAUAUGGUUUAAUUCGAUGAAAAGCGAGGAACAUUAACCGGGCUUGAAUUGCAGAGGAAGGAUUGGGAACAUACACCCAUCCGGGCCUCUGUGAAGGUGCUGCAUGGUUUACGUCAGAUCGUGCCGUGAGGUAUAGGCUUAAGUGCAUAACGAGAGCACCCCCU
rnacentral:rRNA from 1 species